rnacentral:rRNA from 1 species
AAUAUUGCACAAUGGAGGAAACUCUGAUGCAGCGACGCCGCGUGAACGAUGAAGGCCUUCGGGUCGUAAAGUUCUGUCCUUGGGGACGAUAAUGACGGUACCCAAGGAGGAAGCCCCGGCUAACUACGUGCCAGCAGCCGCGGUAAUACGUAGGGGGCGCGCGUUGUCCGGAAUUAUUGGGCGUAAAGGGUUCGUAGGCGGUUAUUUAAGUCAGGUGUGAAAGGCAUAGGCUCAACCUGUGUAAGCACUUGAAACUGAAUGACUUGAGUUAAGGAGAGGAAAGUGGAAUUCCUAGUGUAGCGGUGAAAUGCGUAGAUAUUAGGAGGAAUACCAGUGGCGAAGGCGACUUUCUGGACUUAUACUGACGCUGAGGAACGAAAGCGUGGGGAGCAAACAGG